rnacentral:rRNA from 1 species
GUUGAACGCUGGCGGCAGGCCUAACACAUGCAAGUCGAGCGAAGCGGGGGCGGGUGAGUAAAACGUGGAUAACCUCCUAUAAGACUGGGGUAACUUCGGGAAACCGGAGGUAAACCCGCAACUUAUCGAUGAUUCUGCGAGGUAUUAGCUAGUUGGUAGGGUAACGGCUUACCAAGGCAACGAUGCAUAGCCGACCUGAGAGGGUGACCGGCCACACUGGAACUGAGACACGGUCCAGACUCCUACGGGAGGCAGCAGUAGGGAAUCUUCCGCAAUGGGCGAAAGCCUGACGGAGCAACGCCGCGUGAGUGAUGAAGGUCUUCGGAUCGUAAAGCUCUGUUAUUAGGGAAGCGGUACCUAAACAGAAAGCCACGGCUAACUACGUGCCAGCAGCCGCGGUAAUAC